GACGAACGCUGGCGGCGUGCCUAAUACAUGCAAGUAGAACGCACAGUUUAUACCGUAGCUUGCUACACCAUAGACUGUGAGUUGCGAACGGGUGAGUAACGCGUAGGUAACCUGCCUGGUAGCGGGGGAUAACUAUUGGAAACGAUAGCUAAUACCUCAUAAUAUUAAUUAUUGCAUGAUAAUUAAUUGAAAGGUGCAAUUGCACCACUACCAGAUGGACCUGCGUUGUAUUAGCUAGUAGGUGAGGUAACGGCUCACCUAGGCGACGAUACAUAGCCGACCGGAGAGGGUGAUCGGCCACACUGGGACUGAGACACGGCACAGACUCCUACGGGAGGCAGCAGGAGGGAAUCGUCGGCAAUGGACGAAAGUCUGACCGAGAAACGCCGCGGGAGGGAAGAAGGUUGUCGGAUCGUAAAGCUCUGUUGUAAGAGAAGAACGGGUGUGAGAGUGGAAAGUUCACACUGUGACGGUAACUUACCAGAAAGGGACGGCUAACUACGUG
rnacentral:rRNA from 1 species